CGUGGGUAACCUGCCCUAUACACAUGGAUAACAUACUGAAAAGUUUACUAAUACAUGAUAAUAUAUAUUUACGGCAUCGUAGAUAUAUCAAAGUGUUAGCGGUAUAGGAUGGACCCGCGUCUGAUUAGCUAGUUGGUGAGAUAACUGCCCACCAAGGCGACGAUCAGUAGCCGACCUGAGAGGGUGAUCGGCCACAUUGGAACUGAGACACGGUCCAAACUCCUACGGGAGGCAGCAGGG
rnacentral:rRNA from 1 species